UACAGGAGGUGGCAAGCGUUGUUCGGAAUUACUGGGCGUAAAGGGCGCGUAGGCGGUCAGGUCAGUCCCGUGUGAAAGUCCCCUCGGCUCAACUGAGGAACUGCACGGGAAACUGCCUGGCUAGAGUCCGGAAGAGGAGAAUGGAAUUCCUGGUGUAGCGGUGAAAUGCGCAGAUAUCAGGAGGAACACCGGUGGCGAAGGCGGGUCUCUGGGCCGAUGACUGACGCUGAGGAAGCGAAAGCGUGGGGAGCGAACAGG
rnacentral:rRNA from 1 species